rnacentral:rRNA from 1 species
UACGUAGGGACCGAGCGUUGUCCGGAAUCAUUGGGCGUAAAGAGCGUGUAGGCGGCCACUUAAGUCCUGCGUGAAAUCUUGCGGCUCAACCGCAAGCGGUCGUGGGAAACUGGGUGGCUAGAGUGCGGGAGAGGAGAGUGGAAUUCCUGGUGUAGCGGUGGAAUGCGCAGAUAUCAGGAGGAACACCUGUGGCGAAAGCGGCGCACUGGACCAUAACUGACGCUGAGGCGCGAAAAGCGUGGGGAGCGAACAGG